rnacentral:rRNA from 1 species
UACGUAGGGGGGCAAGCGUUGUCCGGAUUUAUUGGGCGUAAAGAGCGUGUAGGCGGCCAAACAGGUCAGCUGUGAAAACUCGAGGCUCAACCUCGAGACGUCGGUUGAAACCGUUUGGCUAGAGUCCGGAAGAGGAGAGUGGAAUUCCCGGUGUAGCGGUGAAAUGCGCAGAUAUCGGGAAGAACACCCGUGGCGAAGGCGGCUCUCUGGGACGGUACUGACGCUGAGACACGAAAGCGUGGGUAGCAAACAGG